rnacentral:rRNA from 1 species
GAUCGAACGGCGUGGCGGCGUGCUUAACACAUGCAAGUCGAGGCGAAGCAAAGUCUAAGUGAAGUUUUCGGAUGGAUCUUAGAUUGACUGAGCGGCGGACGGGUGAGUAACGCGUGGGUAACCUGCCUCAUACAGGGGGAUAACAGUUAGAAAUGACUGCUAAUACCGCAUAAGACCACAGGGUCGCAUGACCCGGUGGUAAAAACUCCGGUGGUAUGAGAUGGACCCGCGUCUGAUUAGCUAGUUGGUGGGGUAACGGCUCACCAAGGCGACGAUCAGUAGCCGACCUGAGAGGGUGACCGGCCACAUUGGGACUGAGACACGGCCCAA